rnacentral:lncRNA from 1 species
GGAAGCUGAGGCUUAAAGAGAGGAAGAGACUUGCUCAAGAUCUCACAAUCUGAUUGUCAGCUCCUUGACAACUGGUAUCACAUGGAUAUCCUCCAGUUGGGCUCCCUCAUUCAAAGCCUGGCUCUACAUUCACAAGCUGUAUUAUGUUGAGAAGUUACAAUCGAAGUAGAACCUGUUUCACCAUCUGUUAAAGGGGGGAAAUACUACCAUCUACAUCAUGGGGUGGUAGCCAGAAUCAAAUAAAAUGAUAGAUGAGAA